rnacentral:rRNA from 1 species
AACGUAGGAGACAAACGUUAUCCGGAGUUACUGGGCGUAAAGGGCGUGUAGGCGGUUUGUUAAGUCUAGCGUGAAAGCUCUCGGCUAAACCGGGAGAGGUCGUUGGAUACUGGCAAACUAGAGGAUGGUAGAGGCGUGUGGAAUUCCGGGUGUAGUGGUGAAAUGCGUAGAGAUCCGGAGGAACACCAGUGGCGAAGGCGACACGCUGGGCCAUACCUGACGCUAAAGCGCGACAGCAUGGGGAGCAAACGGG